AACGAACGCUGGCGGCAUGCCUAACACAUGCAAGUCGAACGAGAGCUUCGGCUCUAGUGGCGCACGGGUGCGUAACGCGUGGGAAUCUGCCCUUGGGUUCGGAAUAACAGUUGGAAACGACUGCUAAUACCGGAUGAUGACGAAAGUCCAAAGAUUUAUCGCCAGAGGAUGAGCCCGCGUAGGAUUAGCUAGUUGGUGUGGUAAAGGCGCACCAAGGCGACGAUCCUAGCUGGUCUGAGAGGAUGAUCAGCCACACUGGGACUGAGACACGGCCCAGACUCCUACGGGAGGCAGCAGUGGGGAAUAUUGGACAAUGGGCGAAAGCCUGAUCCAGCAAUGCCGCGUGAGUGAUGAAGGCCUUAGGGUUGUAAAGCUCUUUUACCCGGGAUGAUAAUGACAGUACCGGGAGAAUAAGCUCCGGCUAACUCCGUGCCAGCCGCCGCCGUAA
rnacentral:rRNA from 1 species